UUUCGCUUUCCAUUCAUGUUUCUUUAUCUAGCUAGCUAGAUAAUUAAGCUAGUUCUAAGAACACCAAUUUCCUUGAAUGUCAAGACAAAUUUUCCAUUCACUUAUCACAUUUGCAUAGUGAAACCUUUAACAAGCUAUGUAGUUUUUCGUAUCAUUUACAGGAAAUUUUGCCUAAAAUAUCACAAUGAAGUAACAUGUUGCUUGAGGAACAAUGGUCACCAGGUUGCAAAGAAGAUCAGGGUGUCCAAACCCCAUGGCUAUAGAAGGAAACCAAACAACAAAGAAAUGCCCCGGCACUUGCAAUUUUUCGUCAGUUGCUUUUCCUCCGAGAGAAACUGACAUUGACCCUCUUCUGAGCCCCAUGGCUCAAACGGACCCGGAUACCUGGACAUCGGCGAACUGCUACUCAUUAUGGACCCCCAAUCGGACUGGAAAGGAACAACGGCCAUCCAUCAUCAUCCUUGUGCUCAUCAUUCUACUAGGUAUAAAGUAGAAAAAGUGAAAGCAGCAGAAAGGCAACCAGUUCGAUAAAGUAGAAUAGAAUCUAGGCGCUGUACAAAAUGUAAGUGCAGCUGUCAAUUGAAAUUGCUCACGUAGUGCCCCAGUGGACAAUAGAGCUGUAAAUUAGGUUAAGUGAUUAAGAAUAAAAAAAAUAAUUAGUAAUUCAA